GAGGCAAAAUCUACAUGGUCAUAAUUGACCCGCAUUUCCUCGCGGGACAUACUAAAAUACCCUCCUUCCCUUUUAUUAAAGAUAUAAUGCUUCGGAAAACAUGAGCAUAAUCAUCUUCAUACGAUUAACAACCAUUUAUAAGACUGCCAUGACACUUUUCUCAAAUAUAUUCAGAUGCUUUGGUGAUGUGUCUAAAAGCCAGAGAAGCGUAUGCAAAGGGGGUGUUUGUGUUCUUAAAGAGCAGAGCAAACUAGGCAAUACAAGAUCCGAGACAAAGCGAAAGCGAAGAAAUCAGCACUCAUGUUUUUUGAUUUUUCAUUGAGAAUGUAUCCAGGUUUGUAGUUAUUAGCGUUAAGAAGUAACUUGGAUCAAAGAAUUAUGCUACUUAAUUUUCUCUUAAUACAAUCUCAAUAAUUGUGAAGUAGUGGCCUCUGCAUGUUGUUCGUCGAGCAAAGUUCUUGAAUACAAUGUGUGGGAUAUUUGAAUUGAUGGGAUUUAUCAUGUGCUCUCCAAUUUUAUUUGUUUUCGUUAUUUAGAUCUUGAUUCAUGUAUCAAUAAAUCCAAGCGGUUUUGUACCUGUUUUUCUUAAGAGCAUGAGAAGAGCCUCUUGGCUUUGCAACUUUUGAGAGGGUUUUACAUGGAUCCACACUCAACCAUGCCAUACUCAAGUAUAUCAAAAUGUUGUUUUUUUUUUU